UGGUCCAUUGAGCAACUGAGCUGGUAC
rnacentral:piRNA from 1 species